rnacentral:rRNA from 1 species
GGGUUGUGAGGUUAAGCGACUAAGCGUACACGGUGGAUGCCCUGGCAGUCAGAGGCGAUGAAGGGCGUGCUAAUCUGCGAUAAGCGCCGGUAAGGUGAUAUGAACCGUUAUAACCGGCGAUACCCGAAUGGGGAAACCCAGUGUGACUCGUCACACUAUCAUUAACUGAAUCCAUAGGUUAAUGAGGCGAACCGGGGGAACUGAAACAUCUAAGUACCCCGAGGAAAAGAAAUCAACCGAGAUUCCCCCAGUAGCGGCGAGCGAACGGGGAGGAGCCCAGAGCCUGAAUCAGCAUGUGUGUUAGUGGAAGCGUCUGGAAAGGCGCGCGAUACAGGGUGACAGCCCCGUACACAAAAGCGCAUGUGCUGUGAGCUCGAUGAGUAGGGCGGGACACGUGGUAUCCUGUCUGAAUAUGGGGGGACCAUCCUCCAAGGCUAAAUACUCCUGACUGACCGAUAGUGAACCAGUACCGUGAGGGAAAGGCGAAAAGAACCCCGGCGAGGGGAGUGAAAAAGAACCUGAAACCGUGUACGUACAAGCAGUGGGAGCCCCACCACUAAGCCAGUGGUGAACUCCACAUACGCAUCCUUUGCUGAGGAUACGGUUAACGGAGCGAAAGCGACGUUCAACCUCAAAAGAAGCAGAGGGGGCUUAGUGGUGGGGUGACUGCGUACCUUUUGUAUAAUGGGUCAGCGACUUAUAUUCUGUAGCAAGGUUAACCGUAUAGGGGAGCCG